rnacentral:rRNA from 1 species
UACGUAGGGGCCAAGCGUUGUCCGGAUUUAUUGGGCGUAAAGAGCUCGUAGGCGGUUCGGCAAGUCAGCUGUGAAAUCUCCACGCUCAACGUGGAGGGGUCAGCUGAUACUGCUGUGACUCGAGUCCGGUAGGGGAGUGUGGAAUUCCCGGUGUAGCGGUGAAAUGCGCAGAUAUCGGGAGGAACACCUGAGGCGAAGGCGGGCUACUGGGCCGAUACUGACGCUGAUGUGCGAAAGCCAGGGGAGCGAACGGG